AACACACACACACACACACACACACACACACACACACACACACACACACAGUAGCAGAUUCUGUGUGUCUGGUCACAAGAAGACCCAGAAGUUUUGACAACCACUAAAGUGUGUAAUGUCAUUUUUGUCACGUCAUUUCCUGAUCACUUACUUAAAACAUCUUCCAAAUUGUUGAAGGGAUUUAGUGCCUGAGACAAGAUUCUGUUCAUCACCUUGAAAGUGCAAAAACAGUAAGAAUGGUAUUGCAGUUUUUCGUCCUUCUGGUUUUCUUCCUCGGUAGUGGCCAUGGUCUUCCAAAUGGACAAUGACCUUAAGUAUACCAACAAAGUGGCUUAAGGACAACAACAUCAAUGCUUUGGAGUGGGGAUUACAAAGCCCUGCUCUCAAUCCUAUAGAAAAUUUGUGAGCAGAGCUGAGCUUGUGGAAGGAAAAAAUGUUUGACCCAAAUCAUACAGGCAUACAUCACAAAGGCAAUGCUACCAAAUACCAGAGGUGUAAAUAGUACCCAAAAAUCAUACUUACAAAUACCUUACUGCAAAAAAUGACUCCAUUACAAGUUACAAGUCACCAAUUCCAAUACGACUUUUGUAAAAGUCUUAAAGUAUCCAAUUUUAACAGCACUUGAAGAUUUUACUGAAUGUAGGCUCAAAGAUGCACUAGACCUCAACAUGAAAACUAAUGUCAGUAAAAAAAACAAGGAACUGAUCAUUUGUGAGGUUUUAUUUCAUAUAAUAGAAAGGAAGUUAAACACCUUUAUAUUUCAUUAAAUCUUAAACACUGAAGAACAAAACAAGUAUCAAACGUCAGUCUGAGUCAAACUCAGGCAUAAAAAAGGAAUAAAAAGGCAUAAAACUAUUUUUCAAAAAGGUAUUUUCAGUACAAUUGACUGAAAAAUAAUUAGAAUAAAUAAAUGAAUUAAAUAAUUUAAAAGUUAAAUAAAAUAAUCAGAGCAGACUGCGAUAUGAUUUACCCCUCAGUCUCAGAGGGGGGCAAUAUGUUUAUUCAACUUUAACGUCCACAGCUGAGCAGAAGAUCCGAGAACAACCCCCAACACAGUGUCUGAAAACCUCUGGCUUCAACUGUAGAUAGUUAUAGAAAGAUAAAGAUAAAUCUCUGAUUAACUGAAAUCUAGAAGAUUCUUUUCUUCCUGUAUUUAAAUGAAAGGGAAAAAUCUGUUAUACUUCGUACUCAUAAGUGUAAUAUUAAUAAUAAAAUACAUUUAGUAAAAAAGUAAUUGUUUAAUGACUGAAUGCUCCUCUCAAUAAGAUUUUUUCCAUCUUUCUUAAGGACAUAUUGAAUUCAUUUAUACAACAAAGAAUGAAGUAAAAUUGUUCUGCAACACCAACAAAUGGCAAUUAAGCACAAAAUCUAACAACUACAUUGAUGUGAGUUGCACAGUGAAGUGUGUUCCUGGUGAACAGCUCAAACUUAACAAUAUUCAGAAAUUCUGUACAAAUGAAGAUUCAGAUAAAGUUGAGGAAAAAUGUCCACUAAUAGCAACCAGUGGAUUUUUUCGAUGUGUCACUGCUCUGGAUUCUGGUUCCUUGUUUCCAUUCGCACCGUCUCCCAACACUGUCACCUCAUACAUAGUCGCCACUGCAAAUGAAUCCAUAACAAACAAGUCUGUGGAAAGAUCUUCAGUCGUGCUCACUGAAGGUGAAGAUGUGCUUUUAAACUGCAGAUUCAUCCGUACAGAAGGAUAUGACAACAUAUAUUUUGCUGUUUACUGGAUCAAGACCAUUGAAAAGAAGAGUAUCUGUGUGCAUUCUUAUGAUUAUAAAAGGCUUAUUGGUAUUAAUUACAAUCCCUAUUGCAAUGUACAAGAAGAUCUGCUUCACCGGGUCUCAGUCCAAAAACCCAUAAGCAUAGGCACCCAUAACAUCAGGAUCAGUAACAUAACAGAGUCAGAUGCUGGACAAUAUCUUUGUGGUUUACGAGUGCACCCAUUUUCAAAUACAAAAGUAAUGUGGAAGAUUAUAAAUAAUAUCACAGUCAAUGUAAAUAAAGGUCCUGAAAUAGCUGGAAACCGAUUGGGUAAGUUUCAACCAUAUUGAUUUGUGUCUAUUAAGUAUUUGGACAGAGGAAAAUGGAACACAUUUAAUUAUUUGUACACAGAUGUUGAGUCUCUCAUACGCUUGUGUGUUACACUGCCAAUAAUACUGGGUGUUCCGAUAGCUGCUGUGGUGGUGCGUUUAUGGAAAAAGAAUAAAACCUCAGCCAGAUCUCAAACCAUGGAACUGCGAACAAUCAAAGAUAGAGAAGAAACGUCUGAAAUGAGCUUUGAAGCAUGACCACAACACAGCACUUUGGAAGAGUGAAUGUUUAAAAUGUGUUAAUAUCUGCUCUCUAUUAUGAUCUAUUUUGUUUACUUUAACUGUCCUAUUAUAUGUGUUGUAAAAAAUGUACA